rnacentral:rRNA from 1 species
GAUGAACGCUAGCGGCAGGCUUCAUACAUGCAAGUCGAGGGGCAGCAUAAAUUACUUGUAAUUUGAUGGCGACCGGCGAACGGGUGCGUAACGCGUAUGCAACUUACCUUUUACUAGAGAAUAGCCAAGAGAAAUUUUGAUUAAUGCUCUAUACACUUAUUAAUUCUCAUGAAUCUAUAAGAAAAGCUCCGGCGGUAAAAGAUGGGCAUGCGUCCUAUUAGCUUGUAGGUGAGGUAACGGCUCACCUAAGCUCCGAUAGGUAGGGGUCCUGAGAGGGAGAUCCCCCACACUGGUACUGAGACACGGACCAGACUCCUACGGGAGGCAGCAGUGAGGAAUAUUGGACAAUGGACGAAAGUCUGAUCCAGCUAUGCCGCGUGCAGGAUGACGGCCCUAUGGGUUGUAAACUGCUUUUAUACAGGAAGAAAAACUCCGACGUGUCGGAGCUUGACGGUACUGUAAGAAUAAGGAUCGGCUAACUCCGUGCCAGCCGCCGC